rnacentral:rRNA from 1 species
AACUGCAUUUUUUUACACAUGUGUUUUUCUUUUUUUUUGAAAACUUUGCUUUGGUGGGCCCAUGGCCUGCCAGAGAUUAAACUCAACCAAAUUUUAUUUAAGUCAACUGAUUAACUAAUAGUCAAAACUUUCAACAACGGAUCUCUUGGUUCUCGCAUCGAUGAAGAACGCAGCGAAAUGCGAUAAGUAAUAUGAAUUGCAGAUAUUCGUGAAUCAUCGAAUCUUUGAACGCACAUUGCGCCCUUUGGUAUUCCAAAGGGCAUGCCUGUUUGAGCGUCAUUUCUCCCUCAAACCUUCGGGUUUGGUGUUGAGCGAUACGCUGGGUUUGCUUGAAAGAAAGGCGGAGUAUAAACUAAUGGAUAGGUUUUUUUCCACUCAUUGGUACAAACUCCAAAAUUCUUCCAAAUUCGACCUCAAAUCAGGUAGGACUACCCGCUGAACUUAAGCAUAUCAAUAAGCGGAGG